UACGGAGGGUGCAAGCGUUAUCCGGAUUUACUGGGUUUAAAGGGUGCGUAGGCGGGCUUUUAAGUCAGCGGUGAAAGCUUCGAGCUUAACUCGGAAAUUGCCGUUGAUACUAUUAGUCUUGAAUUAAGUUGAGGUGGGCGGAAUAUGUCAUGUAGCGGUGAAAUGCUUAGAUAUGACAUAGAACACCGAUUGCGAAGGCAGCUCGCUAAACUUACAUUGACGCUGAGGCACGAAAGCGUGGGGAUCAAACAGG
rnacentral:rRNA from 1 species